CAAUAGGAGUCUGCUUCUAACCGUCUCUUGACCGAGACUAGCGACUUGUGCGCUAACUUUUGACUUGACCUCAAAUCAGGUAGGACUACCCGCUGAACUUAAGCAUAUCAAUAAGCGGAGGAAAAGAAACUAACAAGGAUUCCCCUAGUAACUGCGAGUGAAGCGGGAAAAGCUCAAAUUUAAAAUCUGGCGGUCUCCGGCCGUCCGAGUUGUAAUUUAGAGAAGCGUUAUCCGUGCUGGACCGUGUAUAAGUCUCCUGGAAUGGAGCGUCAUAGAGGGUGAGAAUCCCGUCUUUGACACGGACUACCAGUGCAUUGUGAUGCGCUCUCGACGAGUCGAGUUGUUUGGGAAUGCAGCUCAAAAUGGGUGGUAAAUGCCAUCUAAAGCUAAAUAUUGGCGAGAGACCGAUAGCGAACAAGUACCGUGAGGGAAAGAUGAAAAGAACUUUGGAAAGAGAGUUAAACAGUACGUGAAAUUGUCGAAAGGGAAACGGUUGCAGUCAGUCGCGUCCGCCGGGGAUCAACCUUGCUUUUGCUUGGCGUAUUUCCCGGUGGAUGGGUCAGCAUCAGUUUUGACCGCAGUUGAAAGGCUGGAGGAAUGUGGCACCUUCGGGUGUGUUAUAGCCUCCUGUCAUAUGCUGCGGUUGGGACUGAGGAACUCAGCACGCCGCAAGGCCGGGAUUCGUCCACGUUCGUGCUUAGGAUGCUGGCAUAAUGUCUGUAACCGACCCGUCUUGAAACACGGACCAAGGAGUCUAACAUGCACGCGAGUGUUUGGGUGGCAAACCCGAGCGCGUAAUGAAAGUGAAAGUUGAGACCUCUGUCGUGGAGGGCAUCGA
rnacentral:rRNA from 1 species